rnacentral:rRNA from 1 species
UACGUAGGCAGCGAGCGUUGUUCGGAAUUACUGGGCGUAAAGAGUGUGUAGGCGGUGCUCUAAGUUCGGUGUGAAAGCCCCCGGCUCAACCGGGGAACUGCACGGGAAACUGGAAGGCUUGAGUUCGGGAGAGGGAAGCGGAAUUCCGGGUGUAGCGGUGAAAUGCGUAGAUAUCCGGAGGAACACCGGUGGCGAAGGCGGCUUCCUGGACCGACACUGACGCUGAGGCGCGAAAGCUAGGGGAGCAAACGGG